ACCGACCUGCCCCUCUUGGAUAACCCAGCUACCAAGCAGCAGUAGCACCUCGAUCAACACACAACACAAGGCAAUAUGCGUUCAGCUCGCCACCUCCACCUCCCGGUCUGGGCCCUCCUUCUCCUCCUGCACUUCUCAGCCUUCGUCCCGGGAGCCAGAGGACAGCAAGAAACCGACGAUGAGUCGGAGUUCAGCUACGACUGCGGGUCGGAGAACGGGCCGGAGAACUGGGGCAAGAUCAAGGAGGAGUGGGCGACAUGCGGCACCGGGCGGAUGCAGUCGCCCAUCGACCUCUCCGACCGCCAUGCCGCACAGACGCCGAACCUCGGGUACCUCAACCACUCCUACCGCUCUGCCAAGGCCUCCAUCGUCAACCGUGGCCAUGACAUCGCGGUGACGUUCCAGGGCGAUGCCGGGAGCUUGUGGAUCAACGGCACUGCUUACCACCUCACGCAGGUACACUGGCACUCCCCCAGCGAGCACCAUCUAAACAGCCACCAGUACAGCCUGGAGCUCCACAUGGUUCACCUCAGCACCGAGAACAAGGCUGCCGUGAUCGGCCGCCUCUAUAAGAUCGGUAGGCGCGACCAUUUCCUGCACAAGCUAGAGCCUUACCUGCGGAGGAUGGCAGGCACGAAGGAGAAGGAGGAGAACGUCGGCGUGGUGGAUCCCUGGGAGGCGAGGGGCGAUGGUGAAGCCUACUACCGGUACACGGGCUCCCUAACCACGCCGGCGUGCGGCGAGGGGGUCAUCUGGACCGUCAUCAAGAGGGUUGCUACCGUGUCGACUCACCAAUUGAAGCUUCUCACGGACGCUGUACACGAUGGCCUUGAGAUGAACGCGAGACCCCUUCAGAAGUUGAAUGGCAGAGAUAUCAGCCUUUUCUGCGCUCAUGAUGACCACGAACGCUAUUACGCUGCUGCUGAUUAUUAAUUAUCUCUAUACUUGAGCCAACCUGACGGAUUGAUAGCAUGUAUGUUAAUGUGUUGGCAAUGGCGAACAAGAGCAAUGACAUGGAACAUUGCAAACGAUCGUGACUCUGCCACAAGCAGGGAUGUUUGUUGGCCUUAGCAUGGUUCUUAUAGUUCCCUAAUAAAGUCAAAGUCAUAGACGUGUUGUUGUUGUUGUUAUCUUCAAUACUUGGAUAAUUAAGAAAGCACGUCACUCACGGCAUUGCCAUUUUCUUGACAACAUGUGCUAGACCAUAGUUUCUUGGAAUCAUUGCAUAACAUAUCCAGUCUAAUGUGUCAUUAUAUUAUGUAGUAUCAUUGUCAUCUUUAAGUUCAAUGUUUCGUUCUUUUCAGUUUUUAUUUAAAUUUAUGUAUUAGUAUCCUUCAAGAAAGUGUGCUACAGAUCUCUAUAUUUGUUCCCCUUCCUUCUUUACCACACUAUAU